UGGAAUGUUUUCUGGGAGCGUCCUAGGCUAUUCCGCGCUGACGGCCUGCACCCCAGCAGAGUUGGAGCGGAGAUCCUCUCGGACCACAUCUCCAGGGCGCUGCACACCUUCUGACUGACACCCAUGCUAAGAUCGUCUUCCGUGCGUUGAAAUUUCUGGACCUCCACUGAGACAAGGCUGACUCUGUGAGAACCCUGAGACAUCUACAGAUCUACCGGCUCCAGUUGGACUCUGUGAUACUUGUAUAUUUGUAACCACACCAUCUAGUGUCACCCAUAUGAGGAUGGGUUCCCCAUGAGUCUGGUUCCUCUCAAGGUUUCUUCCUUUACCAAUCUAAGGGAGUUUUUCCUUGCCACUGUUGCCUGAGCCCUCAGACUUGCUCAUUGGGGACAAAUACACAUACACACAUACAUACAUACAUACACACUGUGAACUGUAUAUAUCUUGAAUUUUUAUUAUAUUAAUUCUUUAUACUUCUCCUUAUGUUCAUCUUUUGUUUUAUGUUUAUGUUCUGUAAAGCUGCUUUGUGACAAUGUCCAUUGUAAAAAGCGCUAUACAAAUAAACUUGAAUUGAAUUGAA